CUUGCUGCUUUCGUCUUCUCCCCCCCCUUUUUUGUAGCUUUUAAAUCUGUGUGAAUGUGAACUGUGUAUAUUAAAUUUAGUAGUCAUCUUUGGUACAAUUUGUAAAGUAUAGUCGUACUUUGACAUGUAGAGCAAAGUUUAUUUUGCUUAUUUACGGGAAUUAUGGUUUUACAUGUAUAUUUAGCUAAUAUCUUUCAAUUCACAUCCCUUAUCUGCAGCAUCUUACAUUAGUAGAAGUGUGGCAUAUAGUCCACUUUGGUCAUAAGCUCAGACAUUAUAGCAUAUGCUACUUCAAAUAAAUACCUAUUUAUUUUUCAACAAUCUCAUUCCGUGGAGGAGUAUCUUGAUGGCCAAUAAGAAGCAUAUUCAAUAGAGUGAGAAGGUCAUUUGGGAAGACCAUUUGAUAGUUGAAGCAUGAUAAAACUCUCUCCCAAAAAGAUUGGACAAAUUCGCAGAAAAUCAAUAAAUGCAUAGUGUUUAUAGAAGAAAAACAGUGCAUAAUGGACUCUCCAUUUUGAUGACAAGGAGGAACACACCAAUUUGGAGCCAACGUAAUCCAAGGGGCCUUUUUAAUAAGAGCAUCUGCAUUAUUUAUGCUACCGUGACUGACCUCCCAUAGGAAGAAUCGGGCAUUUUCAGGAAUGGGACCUUUCCAGAUAUUCCUAUAAAGGGUAGCAUUCCGAUCAAUGCCGCAAGAGGCAAUGCUUCCCUUCAACUUAUCAUGGGUGUUUAGCAAAGACUUCCGGGGGAAUGUACAACAACUUCUGGUUGGAACGAGCUUUAAUAAACCCAUUUGUUUACUAUGGUUUAAUGCGGUCAAGGCAUUAUUGGCAGAAUUAUGGUUUGAGAGAAAUCAGAGGGUGUUCAAUGAUAAAUCACUUGGUUGCCUGAAUCAUUUUGAAUCUGCCCGUCGUAUUGCUUCAUCUUGGUGCAUCCUCUCUAACCAUU